AGUGAACGCUGGCGGCAGGCCUAACACAUGCCAGUCGAACGGAAGCACAGUAAGAGCUUGCUUCUACGGGUGGCGAGUGGCGGACGGGUGAGGCAUACAUAGGCAUCCUAUUUUUCGUGGGGGACUACGGAGGGAAACUUACGCUAAUACCGCAUACGACCUACCGGUGAAAGCAGGGGAUCUUCGGAGCUUUCCCGACUGAAUGAGAUGGUGUCGGAUUAGCUAGUUGGCGAGGUAAGGGCCCACCAAGGCAACGAUCCGUAGCUGAUCUGAGAGGAUGAUCAGCCACACUGGAACUGAGACACGGUCCAGACUCCUACGGGAGGCAGCAGUGGGGAAUAUUGGACAAUGGGCGCAAGCCUGACCCAGCCAUGCCGCGUGGGUGAAGAAGGCCUUCGGGUUGUAAAACCCUUUUGUUAGGAAAGAAAAGCAGCGUGAGAAACCCCCCCUGUUCUGACGGUACCCAAUGAAUAAGCACCGGCUAACUUCGUG
rnacentral:rRNA from 1 species